UAUCUUUGCCGCCUGAUUACCAAAGCGGUAAUUCUAUACAUAAAAAUCAUUUAAAUAAUAUUGGCAUG
rnacentral:ncRNA from 1 species